rnacentral:rRNA from 1 species
GACGAACCGUGCGAACGUUGUUCGGAAUCACUGGGCUUAAAGGGCGCGUAGGCGGGCCGCCAAGUCUGGGGUGAAAUCCCGCGGCUCAACCGCGGGACUGCCUGGGAUACUGGCGGCCUCGAGGGGGGUAGGGGCGUCGUGGAACACUAGGUGGAGCGGUGAAAUGCGUUGAUAUCUAGUGGAACUCCGGUGGCGAAAGC